rnacentral:rRNA from 1 species
AUACGUAGGGAGCGAGCGUUGUCCGGAAUUACUGGGCAUAAAGGGCGCGUAGGCGGCGCUUCAAGUCGUCUGUCAAAUGGGAGGGCUUAACCCUUUUUCGCAGACGAAACUGGAGAGCUUGAGAAGCAGAGAGGCAAACAGAAUUCCUGGUGUAGCGGUGAAAUGCGUAGAUAUCAGGAAGAAUACCAGUGGCGAAGGCGGUUUGCUGGCUGCAUACUGACGCUGAAGCGCGAAAGCCAGGGGAGCAAACGGGAUUAGAUACCCCGGUAGUCCUGGCAGUAAACGAUGUAUGCUGGGUGUGAGACUAGCGAUAGUUUCGUGCCGAAGUUAACGCGAUAAGCAUACCGCCUGGGGAGUACGGUCGCAAGAUUGAAACUCAAAGGAAUUGACGGGG